AGAGGUUAGACCCUGGUAGUCCACGCCGUAAACGAUGUCAACUAGCCGUUGGGAGCCUUGAGCUCUUAGUGGCGCAGCUAACGCAUUAAGUUGACCGCCUGGGGAGUACGGCCGCAAGGUUAAAACUCAAAUGAAUUGACGGGGGCCCGCACAAGCGGUGGAGCAUGUGGUUUAAUUCGAAGCAACGCGAAGAACCUUACCAGGCCUUGACAUCCAAUGAACUUUCCAGAGAUGGAUUGGUGCCUUUGGGAACAUUGAGACAGGUGCUGCAUGGCUGUCGUCAGCUCGUGCUG
rnacentral:rRNA from 1 species